rnacentral:rRNA from 1 species
UACAGAGGGUGCGAGCGUUAAUCGGAAUUACUGGGCGUAAAGCGUGCGUAGACGGUUAUUUAAGUCGGGUGUGAAAGCCCCGGGCUCAACCUGGGAAUUGCAUUCGAGACUGAGUAGCUAGGGUACGGUAGAGGGAAGCGGAAUUUCCGGUGUAGCGGUGAAAUGCGUAGAUAUCGGAAGGAACAUCAGUGGCGAAAGCGGCUUCCUGGACCAGUACCGACGUUCAGGCACGAAAGCGUGGGGAGCAAACAGG